GACGAACGCUGGCGGCGCGCCUAACACAUGCAAGUCGAACGAGAGAGAGGGAGCUUGCUUCCUCGAUCGAGUGGCGAACGGGUGAGUAACGCGUGAGGAACCUGCCUCAAAGAGGGGGACAACAGUUGGAAACGACUGCUAAUACCGCAUAAGCCCACGGCUCGGCAUCGAGCAGAGGGAAAAGGAGCAAUCCGCUUUGAGAUGGCCUCGCGUCCGAUUAGCUAGUUGGUGAGGUAACGGCCCACCAAGGCGACGAUCGGUAGCCGGACUGAGAGGUUGAACGGCCACAUUGGGACUGAGACACGGCCCAGACUCCUACGGGAGGCAGCAGUGGGGAAUAUUGCACAAUGGGGGAAACCCUGAUGCAGCGACGCCGCGUGGAGGAAGAAGGUCUUCGGAUUGUAAACUCCUGU
rnacentral:rRNA from 1 species